UACGAAGGGUGCAAGCGUUAUUCGGAAUGACUGGGCGUAAAGCGCGUGAAGGCGGUUUAUUAAGUCAACUGUGAAAUUGCUCGGCUUAACUGAGCGUGUGCAGAUGAAACUGGUGAACUAGAGUGCAGGAGAGAAGAGUGGAAUUCUCGGAGUAGCGGUAAAAUGCGUAGAUCUCGAGAGGAACACCGGUUGCGAAGGCGGCUCUUUGGCCUGUAACUGACGCUAAAGCGCGAAAGCGUGGGGAGCAAACAGG
rnacentral:rRNA from 1 species